GUUUACAACAAACAUGGAAAAAGGCUGAAAGACCCCUGGAGUGGGGAGACCCUCACUCAAGUCUCGGGAUGAUGCGACCCCCCAAGAACUCACGUGAGACC
rnacentral:pre_miRNA from 14 species